ensembl:lncRNA
GGCCCAAUCAGCUGCUGCGUCUCAAGAGUUCAGACUUGAAGGCCUGAGCUAGUGUGCUGUGAUGAGCUACACGGACAGGUCUUGCUAGUUGCAGGACUUGGACUUACUUUGGGUGUGGCCACAGGAGUCUUGUGAGAGAAGCGAAUAUUUGCAUGGGAGCCUUGCAUUGACACUGUGUGCUUUGGAUUUCAGGGAGCAGGCUGAUGCCUCUUGGGGCAUAAUACAAAGUCUUGGAACUGUGAAUUAUCCACAAAGAAAAGAAAAGCAAAAACUCCAGCUUCCAGGUGCGGGUGAGCUGGUAGACUGUCUGCACACCUUUGCAGUGUGGAGAACAUUCCGGAAGGAAAGGAGCCAAGACAGGAGUUGAUGUUUAGUUAGGAGGCUGGAGCGGUGCUUCUGGGGACCCUAAGGUCUGAAGGAAGAUGGUGCUGGUGGUGACAGGAGGGGUCAGUAGAACCUGGAGCUGUCUCUGGACUAGAAAUGGCAGGAUGUUGAGAUGCUGGAUGAAGCAAGGAAGGAGGAUGAUGCUCAGGUCAUGAAGAACUCCAGGGAAUGAGAACCUUAUUGGAUUGGAUCCAUGAUUGAACAAGUUUUUAACAUCAACCUGGGGAAUGAUCGAUCGAUUGCUAAACUUUGAAAAAAAAUUUUUUUUUUUGGUGCAUGUAUGCCAUAGAAGAAGCCCUCAUUAUCUUAGCAUAAAAAACCAAUACAAUGGAAUCCACUUCUAAUUUUCAUGUUAGUUAAAUUAAAAAAAAUUAUUGGGGUUAGUAGAUUUACAGUGUAGUAUUAGUUUCAGGUGUACAGCAAAAUUAAUGUGUUAUAUCUACUCUUAUUUAUAUUCUUUUCACACAUAAGCCUCAUAUUAAU